AUGCGUAUCCCGGCAGUGAGUCGGCGGGGGAUAAGCUCCGUCGUCGAAAGGGAAACAGCCCAGAUCGUCGUCUAAGGUCCCCAAGCGUGUGCUAAGUGGGAAAGGAUGUGGAGUCGCAUAGACAGCCAGGAGGUUGGCUCAGAAGCAGCCACCCUUGAAAGAGUGCGUAACAGCUCACUGGUCUAGUGGUUCCGCGCCGACAAUGUAGCGGGGCUCAAGCACACCACCGAAGACGCGGCAGUAGCUUUGCUACUGGGUAGGAGAGCGUCCCAUGCGGGGCGAAGCGGCGGCGCAAGCCCGCCGUGGACUGCAUGGGAGUGAGAAUGCAGACAUGAGUAGCGAAAGACGGGUGAAGAUCCCGUCCGCUGGACGACCAAGGGUUCCAGGGCCACGUUCAUCGUCCCUGGGUGAGUCGGGUCCUAAGGCGAGGCCGACAGGCGUAGUCGAAUGGAUGAACGGGUCGAUAUUCCCGUACCGGCAUGCAACCGACAAAACCGAAUCCGCGAGUACUAACCUCCGGGUCCGGGCUUACGUCUCCUUCGGGAGCCGGAUGCCCUGGCCUGUUGGGACCGUAACGGUAGUAGGUCAGCGCGGGAGUGACGCAGAAGGGUAGCCGGCCGCGGAGGUGGUCUUCCGUGGUCAAGCACGCAGCCCGUCCCACAGGCAAAUCCGUGGGGCGCGUGGGCGAGGUGCGAUGAUGGGCGCCGCAGGGCGCGAUAUCCGGUGAUCCCGGCUGCCGAGAAAAGCUUCGGCGUGAGGCGGCGUGCCGCCCGUACCCCAAACCGACACUGGUGGUCAGGUAGAGAAUACCAAAGCGAUCGAGCGAAUCCUGGUCAAGGAACUCGGCAAAUCACUCCCGUUCCUUCGGUUUAAGGGAGACCCCCGAUGGUGAAGCGGCUUGCCCGUGGAGCUUUUGGGGGUGGCACAGACCAGGGGGUAGCGACUGUUUACCAAAAACACAGGAGCGUGCGAAGGCGCAAGCCGCUGUAUACGCUCUGACGCCUGCCCGGUGCCGGAAGGUUAAGAGGAUCCGUCAGGCUUCGGCCGAAGCGGUGAAUUCAAGCCCCGGUAAACGGCGGUGGUAACUAUAACCAUCCUAAGGUAGCGAAAUUCCUUGUCGGGUAAGUUCCGACCUGCACGAAUGGCGUAACGACUUCCCCACUGUCUCGACCAGGAGCUCGGCGAAAUUGCAGUACGAGUAAAGAUGCUCGUUAAGCGCAGAAGGACGAAAAGACCCCGGGACCUUUACUAUACCUUGGUAUUGGCAUUCGGUGUGGAUUGUGUAGCAUAGGCGGAAGGCUUCGAAGCCACGGCGCCAGCCGCGGUGGAGCCGCAAGGUGAAAUACCGCUCUGUUCGCAUUGGAUGUCUAACCUCGACCAGUCAUCCUGGUCAGGGACAGUGCCUGGCGGGUAGUUUAACUGGGGCGGUUGCCUCCCAAAGAGUAACGGAGGCGCUCAAAGGUUCCCUCAGCCCGGUUGGCAAUCGGGUGGCGAGUGUAAGUGCACAAGGGAGCUUGACUGCGAGACUGACGGGUCGAGCAGGGACGAAAGUCGGAACUAGUGAUCCGGUGCCGGUGUACGGACGCGGCAUCGCU
rnacentral:rRNA from 1 species